rnacentral:tRNA from 1 species
ACUUAAAUAAUAUAAUUAUUAUAUUUGACUUCCAAUCAAAAAAUCUAGAAAAUAGUUUAAGUA